rnacentral:rRNA from 1 species
UACGUAGGGGGCAAGCGUUGUCCGGAAUCAUUGGGCGUAAAGAGCGUGUAGGCGGCUCGAUAAGUCCGCUGUGAAAGUCCAGGGCUCAACCCUGGAAGGCCGGUGGAAACUGUCGGGCUAGAGUCCGGAAGAGGCGAGUGGAAUUCCCGGUGUAGCGGUGAAAUGCGCAGAUAUUGGGAGGAACACCAAUGGCGAAGGCAGCUCGCUGGGACGGUACUGACGCUGAGACGCGAAAGCGUGGGGAGCAAACAGG